rnacentral:sRNA from 1 species
ACGUGGGGGGCAACCUUUUGCCUCGUGGGAAUGCUCCAGCUGGGGAGAUUGGCUAGCUUCGGGCUGAGGUUUGGGGAAGCCUGGCCCAGCAUCCCUAAGGCUUCUCAUCUCAUCCUUCCCAAUAUAUUCUGCCCCUUCCAAGAUAAUACAAUGAUUUCACCCCCCAAACUCACCUUUGUUUUUGAAGGAAGGUGGAUGAGUUUCAAAUCCCUUUCCCUCUCCAGGACUGAAGGUUGUUUAUUUUUCCUUUCCCCUCCACCCCCACCCCUCUUGCAUGCAAAGAUAAAUAUUCAAUUUACAUAAGAUGACAUUUAUGUGACAAUUAAGGAGAUUCCCCGAUGGAAUGUUGUGAACACAUUUGCUUAUAGGAGAAAUAAAUCUAAUAAUAAACAAACUCAGAACAGCUCAAAUCCUCUGACAGGGAGGUUGUCUCUGCAACAAAGAGGGGCAUGAGGGACUCUGAAAGCUCUCUGUGCAACAAGAAAGAGAUGAACCCAAAGGAAGCCACCAGCAGAAUUUCUUUUCUUUGGCCUUCAUUCACAAAGUUUGAAGAGGCUUGCCUGGCAAGAGGAGGGACUGGCUCACCAUCACCUCACAGUUAGCCCUGGCUUUGGUUUUCAAUGGUCCACUGAGAUUUUCCCAGGCCAAGGUCAAUGUCUGCUAACAGGUGUUGCAGGCAGGGAGUGCCCAACAGAGUGGUUAAUGGCUUCUAAUCCUGGCUUUCCUUUUCAGAAGGCUGAAGCGGGCCAGUGACUACAUCUCUCUGGGUCUGUGUUCACCUUGGUGAGCCGAAAACUCCAGAGACACCUGUGGACACACCAGCUUGAACCCAGAGCUUUGCCUGUGCUAGGCAAGAGAGGACAAUGCUCUCAGUCUUCCCCCUGAGGAUACAUUGCAAGAACUCCAGCGUGCACAGAAAGAGAACCAAGAGUGGAACUGGUAUGUGCAGUGCCUGCGGGGGCCAGAAGAAGGCAUCAGACCUAAGAGGGACAGUUUUAAGUUGGAGCGUCUGAGAAGAUGGCAGAACUUACUUCAAGGGCUGCAGGAUGGUGGCUCACACCUACUAUCCUACCACCUAGGGGGAGCCGAUGGAGGAGAAUCGGGAGUUCAAGGUCAUCCUGGACUACAUAGCAAAUUUGAGGUCAGCCUGGACGGCCGAAGGUCCUGGAUUCAACUCUCAGCAUUGCAAAAAUAAUAAAGAUCUUAUACCCGAGAGGAGUCCAUAGGAUCAGAGUCCUUGAGUACAAGGCACAGACAAGGUUAAGAGGCUAACAGGGUCAGAAGUUUGAGGUGGCUUUCUCUGAAGGGGAAUUAUCAUUCCAUCCAUUGCUGCUGAUGUACCUGCUGUGUGCCAAACAGACCUUGAGAAAGAAGACAAGGCUGGAAGUUUAAGCCUCCUUCAUGAUACAUAGAAACUGCAGCUGGGCCCUGGAACAGAGUCUCACUAUGUGGCCCUUGCUGUCCUGGAAUUCACUACGAAGACCAGUCUGGCCUUGCACUCACAGGGAUCCUUUGUUUCUGCCUUUGGGGUGCUGGAAUCAAAGUUUCAGGGACUUGGGAUGCCCCCUUCUGACCUGCCUGGGCACCGGACACAUGAGUGGUAUAUGGACACACAGGCAGGCAAGUCACCCAGACACCCAUGUACAUAAAAUAAGAGCCUCAGGGGGCCAGCACACCUCAGGAUACAUGGUCACCCCACACACCUCAGGAUACAUGGUGCUAUGUCACCCCGUUCACAAUAAGACGAGUGCCUGCAUGCUGAGUCCCCCUUUCUGUUUAGUUUGAUAACAAGGGCAUACUGAGUCUGAAAAAACUCUGCUACUAAGCUGUAGCCCAGUCUGAAAGCUAACAAUUUAUCUCAACACCUCAGAAACUCACGUAUGGCCUGUCGUGGCUUGUGUACCUGUUAUCCCACAUCAUGAGAGAUAGAAGUCUGAGGAUUAGGAGUUCUAUGCCAUCCUGAGCAGGCUGUUCUGGAACUCUCUAUGUA